rnacentral:rRNA from 1 species
AUUGAACGCUGGCGGCAGGCCUAACACAUGCAAGUCGAGCGGAUGAGUGGAGCUUGCUCCAUGAUUCAGCGGCGGACGGGUGAGUAAUGCGUAGGAAGCUACCCCGAUAGAGGGGGAUACCAGUUGGAAACGACUGUUAAUACCGCAUAAUGUCUACGGACCAAAGUGUGGGACCUUCGGGCCACAUGCUAUCGGAUGCGCCUACGUGGGAUUAGCUAGUUGGUGGGGUAAUGGCUCACCAAGGCGACGAUCCCUAGCUGGUUUGAGAGGAUGAUCAGCCACACUGGAACUGAGAUACGGCCCAGACUCCUACGGGAGGCAGCAGUGGGGAAUAUUGGACAAUGGGCGAAAGCCUGAUCCAGCAAUGCCGCGUGAGUGAUGAAGGCCUUAGGGUUGUAAAGCUCUUUUACCCGAGAUGAUAAUGACAGUAUCGGGAGAAUAAGCUCCGGCUAACUCCGUGCCAGCAGCCGCGGUAA